rnacentral:lncRNA from 1 species
AAAAUUAAAGACUUUAAACAUAUCCGUUACUUAAAAAAAAAGCUAUAAUAAAAUAUAACGAGUUUAGUUUUAUUUUAAUACAUAAUUAAAGUAGAGUAUAUGUUUUUUGUAGUGAAAAAUAAAUAAAUAAUUAAUUAAUUGAAUAUAAAAUGUGGGUUUAAGAAUAUAGUUGAAACAUAAUAACUUAAAUAGAAAGAGAAAGAAUACUUUGCACGGUUUUUACUUUUGACACGUUAUGGACCACAAUUUUCUGGAAUCUUUUUAAGGGUAAUUUGGGAAUUUCACAAAGGCAGUGGCUCCUUUAAAAAACAAUCCUUUCUUAGCAGUAAAGGUAGUAGUUCCAUGCACUGAUUCUCUGAAACGCAACACCCUUUCUCUCUCUUGUUCCACAAACCCUAAAUUAAACACAAAAUCCCCUUCUCUUUGGUGCUCCAGAAACCCUAAAUCAAAAAGAGUGCGAGAUUGGUGUGGUGCACGAAGGCAAGAACUCGAAAACGAUUAUAGUGUGGUGAAAUUUGAGUAUCGUUUAUCGUAUUAAUGUGAGUGCGAUGAAUCCCUUUUUUUCUUUCAUAUUAUGUUUUGUUGUUUAAGUUAAACAGUGUAUUCAAUCUUUUUUAUUCUUUUGGAUGAGUCCUUUCAUACGAUGGGAAUAACUUGGUUUCUUCCUGUUGCUUUUGUUCCUGUAUAUAUUUUUGUGUAGACUAUGGAUCAUAAUAUUUUAAUGCUACAACAUUUUCUUUGUCUCCCUUGAUCCAUUUGUUCAAGGUGAUAUAGUUGUGUAUUUAGUUCAAGGUAACAUGGGUGUAUUCUGUUUGAGUGAUUUUGGGACUGGUUAGAGGAUUGAUAGUUGUGUGAGCCAAUUGUGGGUUGUGAGAUACUCAGAGGGCUAUUCUUGAUUUCAUAUUAUAGCUUGCAUAAAUAAAUUAUCUUUAUUCUGACAUUCACAUUGGCCUUCACUUGCCUCACUGCCUUCCAUUUAAGCGACAACAUGAUUUUAAAUCAAAUGGGGUGGGAAGAUGGUGAUCUUGAAAAAUUGAUUCAUAAUUCCUUUUUUUAG